rnacentral:lncRNA from 1 species
AACUCAAGUUCUUCUUUUUCUCUAAGAACACAAACAAUGGCUUCUGCAGACAAACCCAUAAACACAGACGUCCCUGAAAAGGAUGUUUUUACCCUCCACUUCCUCCAAUCCCUCUCAAAUCUCAGAAGACAAAACACUUUCAAUUCUCCUGAAAAAACAAACGAUCGUGUUAAGAAAAUCAAGAAGGCUGCGUAUGUAUCCAUGGCCAGAGCAGCCGGAGGGACUAACCGGCUGUGGAGCAGAGCCCUCUUGCGCCGAGCCGCCAAAGAAAACAGUAAAGUCGUCAGGUUUCCUAGGAGGAAGAAGAGGGUGACGUGUCUGAGGAGGAGGAGGAGUAACCGGAGAGAUCCAGUGGAGGAGGAGGAAGCGGAGAGGCUGAGGAAUCUUGUCCCGGGAGGCGGUGGCAUGGAGACAUCAAAGCUGAUGGAAGAGACGGCUCAUUACAUCAAGUGCCUUAGUAUGCAGGUUAAGGUUAUGCAGUGUCUCGUUGAUGGCUUAGCUCCGAAAUGAUCAUCAUCAUCAUCAUUAAUGAUGCAUAUAAUAUUGGCUUAUCUCCAACACACAUAGUAUUGGAAUGGAGUGAUCAUGACGCAUAUCUAUAUAUGUGUACAUAUAUUCUUAUAUGUAUUAUGUAUACAUACGUGUAAGAUAGGAUAUAUACAUACUAAAUGUGUGGAUAUGUAUUAGUUAAGGAAAGAAAGAAUUUUCUUCUUUUUUUGUUUAUUUUCUUGAAUUUUGAUAAAAGGGUAUGUUAUAUAUUAGCAUGCUUAAUUUGGUAUUGUUUUUUGUCAUAACAAAAUAAUGUAAACAUUAGGGUUUGGGAACUUGCCGUUGGAGCUACGCAGUGC